rnacentral:lncRNA from 1 species
UAAAAUGUUCACAAUAUUGCAAAAAUUACCAAAGCCGUUAUAGAAAUAAAACCAACAAUUUAGAAACUCCAGAAAUGCCCCUAGAAAUUAAAACAGUGGACCAACGGCACAUCACUUGGCCUUUUCGAUUUCUAAAAUAAUUAAACCUUUUUCGAAAGACCUUCAGCUUUUUGUGGCAUUGCUAUAUAAUGCAAUGAUGUUCAUGUGACAAGCUACAUGAUUUACAAAAGUCCUUUGGUGGUUAAGCAAUUUACAAACCAGAGCAAAAAUAAAAUAAAAACUGUAGAAAAGAAAAAAAAGAAAUAAAAGAACCCCCCCGACUGGGCCUUGGCCCAGUUGGCCGAAGGAGCCAGUCGGCCCAGCCGACUCACUCCCGCACCCCCUGGCCUACUAGGCCUCCUCCACCCCCCGAAAACCCUAACCCCGCACCCCCACUUGCUCCACUACACUCCCGCACUCUCCUUCUCCCCCGAUCCAAUCGGGAUCAGGCUCGCCACCGCCUGUCGUUGCCCAGGGAACCCCAUCGCCAGCCGGCCCCGCCCCUCCCGGACUCCUCCGCAUCCCUCCUCUCCCUCAUGCGGCAUCGCCUGUAGCCGCGGCUCGCCUAGUCACCGACCCGUCGCCAUCGCGCGCCAUCGCCCUGCGCCCGUCUUUCGCCGCCCCGUCGUCGCCGGUGCUCCCCGUAGCCCGCCUCUUCGUCCACCUCCCCGCUGGGCUACAUCGCCCCUCGCCGCUGCCCAAAGGCCUCCCCAUCGCUGGACCACCCGCCGUCGCUGCUCGUCGCCGCAACCCGGAGCUCCUCCGCCUCGUCCGUCGCCCCGUCCUCGACUCCCCUUCGACGGCUCCACCGAGCCCAUUGCCUUCCCCCUGGAGCUCCCCUGUGAGGAACCCCCCUCCUAUCCUCCUUCCCCUCCUCCCGUACGGCCACCGUCCGCCACUCCCUCACGUCGCGCGCGCGUGCGCCGGCGCGCACCACGGUGCCCCGCGCGCNNNNNNNNNNNNNNNNNNNNNNNNNNNNNNNNNNNNNNNNNNNNNNNNNNNNNNNNNNNNNNNNNNNNNNNNNNNNNNNNNNNNNNNNNNNNNNNNNNNNNNNNNNNNNNNNNNNNNNNNNNNNNNNNNNNNNNNNNNNNNNNNNNNNNNNNNNNNNNNNNNNNNNNNNNNNNNNNNNNNNNNNNNUCUGGCCACCGAGGCCCGCGCCUGUCGUGGCCUUGCUCCGCGCCCGCCGCGGACAUCUGGCCGCGAACGGCGUCCUCCGCCACCCCCAACUGCUCCGCCUUCCUCGCUUCACCCCCUGGCGCUGGCGCCGUCGCCCCGCCGGUGCCCCGCGGCUGGAUCGGGCGAGCGCCCUGUCAGACGGGCUGCGCCCAGCGCCCGCUUCAGCCGCCUAGCUCCCGCCCCGUUAAGGCCUUGGGCCUAUGACAUAUGGGCCCCACCCUUAGAACGUAAAAAAAGAGAAUUAAAAAUAAUAUUAAUAAAAUAAAUAAAUAAAUAAAUAAUAAUUAAAUUAAUUAAUUAAGUUAACUAAUCCUAUGUAAUUAAUCUAAUUAACUAGUUAGUUUAAUUAAAUAGCAAUUAGAUUAGUUAAACCCUAAUUAGACUAAACAGUCAAUGACGAACGGGACCCACACGUCAGUUGACCAGUCAACUCCCCUGUUGACUGCUGAUGUCAUGUUGACGUCAGCGUUCACUAUUCUGGAUAAUGUUGGAUUUAAAUAAAUAAUUAAAAUCAGAAAAUGAGUAAAUCUUUAGAAAAUCAUAUAAAAUAAACCGUAGCUCAGAUGAAAAUACUUUCUACAUGAAAGUUGCUCAGAACGACGAGACGAAUCCGGAUACGCAGCCCGUUCGCCCGCCAAACAUCCGUAGCAUAGCAAACCGUUAACAUUUCACCUCCGGUUCAUCUGUCCGAAAACGCGAAACACCGGGGAUACUUUCCCGGAUGUUUCCCCUUUCGCCGGUAUCACCUAUCCCUACGUUAGGUCACCCCUAGCACAACGUAUCGCCUCGUCUUGCUUUGUGUUACAUUUGAUUGCUCUGUUAUUUAUUGUGUGCCCCCUCCGUUACUUCUUUCCGGUAGACUCCGAGACCGCUGCCGAUGUUCGUGUGUUCGACUACAUCGAAGACGACCCCUCCUACUUGCCAGAACAACUAGGCAAGCCCCCCCUUGCUCACCAGAUAUCGCCUAUUCUUCUCUAUACUGCUUGCAUUAGAGUAGUGUAGCAUGUUACUGCUUUCCGUUAAUCCUAUCCUGAUGCAUAGCCUGUCAUUGUUGCUACAGUUGUUACCCUUACCUGCUAUCCUACUGCUUAGUAUAGGAUGCUAGUGUUCCAUCAGUGGCCCUACACUCUUGUCCGUCUGCCAUGCUAUACUACUGGGCCGUGAUCACUUCGGGAGGUGAUCACGGGUAUAUACUAUAUACUUUAUAUACAUGACACAUGUGGUGACUAAAGUCGGGUCGGCUCGUUGAGUACCCGCAAGUGAUUCUGAUGAGGGGGCUGCAAGGACAGGUGGCUCCAUCCCGGUAGAGGUGGGCCUGGGUUCCUGACGGCCCCCGACUGUUACUUUGUGGCGGAGCGACAGGGCAGGUUGAGACCACCUAGGAGAGAGGUGGGCCUGGCCCUGGUAGGCGUUCGCGGAUACUUAACACGCUUAACGAGAUCUUGGUAUUUGAUCUGAGUCUGGCCAUUUGGUCGAUACGCACUAACCAACUACGCGGGAAUAAUUAUGGGCACUCGACGUCGUGGUAUCAGCCGAAGCUCUUCUUGACGUCAGCGACGGAGCGGCGCGCGCCGGAUUGGACUGGAACGCCUUCUAGGCUAGGUCUGCUUCCGGCCGCCCUCGCAACGUGCAGGUGCGGAAUGGGCGAUGGGCCCAGACCCCUGCGCGCAUAGGAUUUAGACCGACGUGCUGACCUCUCUGUUGAGCCUAGGUGGGGCAGCGAUGUGUUGAUCUUCCGAGGCCGGGCAUGACCCAGGAAAGUGUGUCCGGCCAAAUGGGAUCGAGCGUGUUGGGUUAUGUGGUGCACCCCUGUAGGGAAGUUUAUCUAUUUGAAUAGCCGUGUCCCUCGGUAAAAGGACGACCCGGAGUUGUACCUUGACCUUAUGACAACUAGAACUGGAUACUUAAUAAAACACACCCUUCCAAGUGCCAGAUAUAAGCCGGUGAUCGCUCUCUAACAGGGCGACGAGGAGGGGAUCGCCGGGUAGGAUUAUGCUAUACGAUGCUACUUGGAGGACUUCAAUCUACUCUCUUCUACAUGCUGCAAGAUGGAGGCUGCCAAAAGCGUAGUCUUCGACAGGAUUAGCUAUCCCCCUCUUAUUCUGGCAUUUUGCAGUUCAGUCCACCGAUAUGGCCCUUUACACAUAUACCCAUGCAUAUGUAGUGUAGCUGCUUGCUUGCGAGUACUUUGGAUGAGUACUCACGGUUGCUUUCCUUCCUCUUUCCCCCCUUUCCUUUCUACCUGGUUGUCGCAACCAGAUGCCGGAGCCCCGGAGCCAGACGCCACCGUCGACGACGACUCCUACUACACUGGAGGUGCCUGCUACUACGUGUAGUCCGCUGACGACGACCAUGAGUUAGUUAGGAGGAUCCCAGGCAGGAGGCCUGUGCCUCGUCCGAUCUGUAUCCUAGUUUGUGCUAGCCUUGUUAAGGCAAACUUGUUUAACUUAUGUCUGUACUCAGAUAUUGUUGGUUCCGCUGACUCGUCUAUGAUCGAGCACUUGUAUUCGAGCCCUCGAGGCCCCUGGCUUGUAUUAUGAUGCUUGUAUGACUUAUUUAUGUUGCAGAGUUGUGUUGUGAUAUCUUCCCGUGAGUCCCUGAUCUUGAUCGUACACAUUUGCGUGCAUGAUUAGUGUACGGUCAAAUCGGGGACGUCACAAGUUGGUAUCAGAGCCAACUGCCUGUAGGAAUCCCCCUGUCCACACUCCUUGGCCGAAGUCGAGUCUAGACAUUACAAAACUUUUACUAACAUGGUUGUGUGUCUUACGGGCCCACGUCGCCAUUGGGUGGUAUUACGAUGUUUUACUCCUUGUCUAUACUCUGGGACUCUGAUUUCUCUCCUAUUCGGGUUAAAUAAUUUUGCUAAAAAGACUAACUGUAGGUUCUUGUAAAUACUUUCUCCCGGAGAGCCCUUUAUCACAGAUGGUCGCCGACAGCACCAGAAGAUGUUGAAGAUACUCUUCGAUCAUUCCCGAGACCCUUGUGCCCUCUACCUUUUCAAUUCCCUACUACCGAUAUAUCCAUAUGGAUAACAACAUAUACUUGUUGUUCAUACAAUUACUCUGAGUUUCUCUUGUUAUUACCAGAUACAUCGAAUUGCUCUCCGGCUUUUUAAGAAUCCCUUGUACCACUGCCUUGUAGUUCCUUGCCGCAGAAAUACCCAUACGGAUAAUUACUCGCACCUACCGAGUAUCGACUCAUCCCCAGUUGAUUCAUGUAUUUCACAAUAGUCUUCAAAAUACUAUUCGAUCUUUCGAAAAUCCUCAGGAGCCUAUUGCUCUUGAAAUUCUUGCUUACUAGCAUUAUGAUUAAUCCCAUAAGUCUCGAAAUCUUAUUGGCACCCUUUGUCAUUAUCUUUUUGAGUCCAUUGAUUCAAUAUGUUGCGAAUGCUCGCAAUCCUCAAUCAGAUCCUAGAAUUCAUCCUUCCGGCUCAGACAUCAUUUUUAACAUGAGCUGGAUCUCGACCAAUCAAAUCGUCGUCGUUUGUACCCCUAAGGCUAUUCAGCUUAUCCAUCCCUAAUCAGAGCAUUGCUUCUGAUCCCUUGUCUUGGAAUUCAUAAUUCUUUUGCAAAUGAGCUCUGAAGUAGUCAGUUGUUUCUAUCAUCUGAUCUCCUUACAUGCUUUUUCUUCUGGUUGAGUACCGAUGCUCACACCAGAUCCCUUAUGGACCAUCAGAACCUUGUUGGAUUUCAUCCGACGACGUCCUUCAUAUUCAAUAACUUUGUGAGUCUUUUCUCGGAUACAUAAUGCCUUUCGUAAAUUGUAUCCUAUGCUUCGUCAACAAUGCUCUCCUUUCGAGCUUGUGUUAUUUACUCCUGAAGUUUGCGGUAUAUGUUCCCAAGAUGCCCCUAUGGGUUGAAGCCUUCUCUAAUCCAUGUGAACUCGAAAGUUUUCACGAGUCAUACUCUUCUGGUGCUUCGCCAGAUAAAAUUUCAGCACUACAACUUCUUCGUAAACGAGAAGUGAAUGAAAGGUUAUGCAUUGCAGAAGUGGGAGUCGACCUUGAACAUUUGUGUUCAUGCCCACGGACACGAUGUGGAACUUAUCAUGAAAGCUUCUUGCAAGAAUAUUUAAACAUUCGAAUGAUUCUUCCGGUGUAGUAAAUUGGAUCCCUUGCAGUUAUGGUUUCAACCAUUCUAACCAUAUUCAAUACAUCUGGAAGGAAACCAUUCCAUUGCCUCAUCUAUCAUGACAAGAUUAAAGUAUCUGCUAUUGCAAGUCUGCACUCCAGUUCAGUUUCUAUGCUGAUCUUCCCUUGAGUAGUACCCUCAAGUAUCUCGAGAAUACCACGGAACUACAUAACUUCUUGUGAGUUCUUCAUCAACUAAUAUUCUCACUGAUUCCAAUUUUUCACGGGCUCUGAGUUAUUAAACACUCAAAGACACCGAUAACUGAACCGAGUCUGCACUACGGUUCAACGACACUUGAUAAUCUUCUUGAAGUACGAGUUUGUACCCGAUCACGCCAUUCCUAGCCUGUAUGGCUAUAUCAUUGUCGUGUCGAUUUUAACUGUGCUACCUGGUCCUUAUUCCCGGAGCACCACUUUCGACGAUGAGCUAAGCUUACGUCGAUUUUCCUCUUCAUAUCAUUCCGCCUUGAACAACAAGCUUGAUUUUGAGUUUGUGUCCUACCCAUGGUUCCAAUAACCGUCUGCUUCAUCAUUCCUUUGACUUGAUGUCGCCGCUGAUUGAUUACAUCUUCAUGAAAUCUCUCGACAAAUGUGUCGUGAUCAUUGUCAACAAUUUGACUUCUUCCAAGUUGUGUGUUGAAAUUCAGGAUGAGAAAUACCAUCCUUGCCCCUCGAUGAAUUGUGUUAUCAUCGACAACAUUCUUGCCUCCCCUCAACACAAACUUGUUCAUAUUUUGUGUUGUAUCUUGAUUUCCCUGCUAUCCAAACUAUGUUAUGUUCUACCGUGGAGUAUUACCAUCUUUGAUGUCAAGAAUGUUGUGAGCAUUACUCCACCUCUUAAGAAUUCUUGGUACAGUGAUACUUCUCACCAUCACCAUUCUUUCUUGGUCCCCGUGUUGUUUCUAAACGAAAUACCGACAAAUGGUCUGUGAUGUGUAAAUUCUAAACUCCUAGCAACCCUAUUGCUUUGAAGUUAUUGGUCUAUAGUUUCAUUCUACGUCUAUGGCUUAUUGUAUCAUCAUUCGAACAUUGAUCGUGCUACCUAGCCCAUAUUUCGGGUGCACAUUUCAACCAAUGUUUAAAUGUGUAUGUUUUCCUCGAGCAUACAUCAUUAAGUCAUUCGAUCUAGCUAAUGUUAUCUUCUUGUUCACAUAGUUGUGGAAAUCCAUCUUUUGGAAAUCUCAAUGGAUUGUCGCUGAGUCAAUCAGUCACCUCUUCACCUCUCCUUGAUUUAAUGACGAUCCCUUGUCUCAGAACUUGCUUCCAUAGUUCGUUUCCCGAGAAUCUUACAAUGUCAUCUCGUCAAUUGGUGUUGCGCCUUUUCCUCUCAGGCAUCCCGAGUCUGAGGUAUCCCGACACCAAUUAGAUCUGAACCUCAAUCAGAUAUGAUGGUGGGAACAUAUUUCCAAGAGUAAUAACAAUGGUCUGUAUAUGACCCGGUAAGGUGAUAUCGUGCCUAGCACACCUGGCCAGAGGACCUAUUGUUACCAUUUCCUUUUUAGCAAGGCUAUCCUUUCUUCCAUGAGGAAAUUGUAAGACUUAUUCUACAAGCGGUUCCUGAUGGAUCCUUUGUGUUUCUAAAGUCUGAUCUUCACCUAAUAACCAUAUCAAGGCUAUCUCGAUGCAUGUCUGUGGUACUCCGAUCUUCAAUAAGAGCAUUUGAAGCACAAUGCAAAAAAUUUCCUUAUCAAUUAUCCAAACACCGCUGUAUGGGUAAUGUCAUGAAAUUUCUCUCCCCUACCUAAAGAGUUUUCUACAUAAUAUCAUGUCAUGGAUAUCAUGCUUUGCUUGUCCUUGGGAAGGAUAUACCCUUGAAAUAUGUGUUUAAACACAUUUUCCUUUCCAUUGUUCUGUUUAAUCUGAUAAUCAUAUUUGCCUUUCCAUUGGUUGGUUUAACGUUUCUUGUGAUCUAUAUGAUCUAAGCAGAAAUGUUCUCCUGCUUAUGUAAACACCUCGGUGUACAAUUCUGUCAGCAAGACCCUGUUACCAUUUUUGAUGACAUUCCGGUAGCCACCGAUGGACGAGAACUUUGCCUAUUGGUCCGCCUCGUUCAACGAGCAGGAAAAUGGUUCUCUUCGUCCCUCGCCCUUGGUACCAACGUUGUUGCCGACAUAAUCGACAGGCUACCCUCUGACCUGCCUUGCUAUCAUGACCAUGCAAGAUGUCACCGCUCCCUCUACUUUUAACCCACAUGGUGGGUCCAUAACCCACGGGUCCACUGGGUCGAAACCUGACUCUUCUUUAUAACCCGGAUUCUAAUGUAUCCUUUGCACCUGGCUUCGUAUGUGAUUCACGAGCUGAAUGCUAUACCAUUAUUCAUCCUGGAAUCAAACACAUUGUUAUUCUCGUUGUUCAAACCCCCAUUCUAGCUUCUGCCUAGUCAUCGAAUGAUUGCCUACUCGUUUGAAACUUUGGUACCAUCGUAUAUUGCACUCAACGAAUUCACUGAAAUACAACUCGUUGGGUACCUUUUGUAUUUCCCAUUGAGUUCACCGUCAGAUGCCCAGCUUUGUGGAUAUGCGUUCUUCAGGAGUUUUCCCCCUUGGUCGCCUUCGUAGGACGAUGGAGAUCCCGAAGAAAGGAUGAUGACUGGAUCAUGGUGACUUGAAACAGAGAAAUGAAGACAUCAACGAAAGGGAUCAACCCCUUCGAAAGGGCAGCCAAGAUCGAGAACGCUCGUUAGAAUUUCGUAACCAAAUCCCUUUCCCCCUAGUCCCCCUCUUAAAUCUCGGGACGAGAUUUCUUGUAGUGGAGGAGAUUUGUGACGCCCGGAUAUUUAGGCUACAGUAAACCUCUGCUAAUGAUGCCACGUCACCUAGGUUACUGUUGAUAAACUAGCGUUAGUUCAAAACAAUUCAAAUUCAAAUUUAAAAUAAAAACAAACAACAAAAGUUUUCAAACACUAAAAACUAAAAUGUUCACAAUAUUGCAAAAAUUACCAAAGCUGUUAUAGAAAUAAAACCAACAAUUUAGAAACUCCAGAAAUGCCCCUAGAAAUUAAAACAGUGAACCAACGGCACAUCACUUGGCCUUUUCGAUUUCUAAAAUAAUUAAACCUUUUUCGAAAGACCUUUAGCUUUUUGUGGCAUUGCUAUAUAAUGCAAUGAUGUUCAUGUGACAAGCUACAUGAUUUACAAAAGUCCUUUGGUGGUUAAGCAAUUAACAAACCAGAGCAAAAAUAAAAUAAAAAUUGUAGAAAAGAAAAAA